GUAGGUGGCAAGCGUUGUCCGGAAUUAUUGGGCGUAAAGCGCGCGCAGGCGGCUUCCCAAGUCCCUCUUAAAAGUGCGGGGCUUAACCCCGUGAUGGGAAGGAAACUGGGAAGCUGGAGUAUCGGAGAGGAAAGUGGAAUUCCUAGUGUAGCGGUGAAAUGCGUAGAGAUCAGGAAGAACACCGGUGGCGAAGGCGACUUUCUGGACGAAAACUGACGCUGAGGCGCGAAAGCGUGGGGAGCAAACAGGAUUAGAUACCCUGGUAGUCCACGCCGUAAACGAUGGAUACUAGGUGUAGGAGGUAUCGACCCCUCCUGUGCCGGAGUUAACGCAAUAAGUAUCCCGCCUGGGAAGU
rnacentral:rRNA from 1 species